AUACGGAGGGUGCAAGCGUUAAGCGGAAUUACUGGGCGUAAAGCGCUCGUAGGCGGUUGAUUUAGUCAGAUGUGAAAGCCCCGGGCUCAACCUGGGAACUGCAUUUGAAACUGGUCAACUGGAGUAUGGUAGAGGGGGGUAGAAUUUCUGGUGUAGCGGUGAAAUGCGUAGAUAUCAGAAGGAAUACCGAUGGCGAAGGCAGCCCCCUGGACCAAUACUGACGCUGAGGUACGAAAGCGUGGGGAGCAAACAGGAUUAGAAACCCCAGUAGUCC
rnacentral:rRNA from 1 species